AUGAACGCUGGCGGCGUGCCUAAUACCUGCCAGUCGAGCGCACAGACGAGGAGCUUGCUCCUCUGACGUUAGCGGCGGACGGGUGAGUAACACGUGGAUAACCUACCUAUAAGACUGGGAUAACUUCGGGAAACCGGAGCUAAUACCGGAUAAUAUAUUGAACCGCAUGGUUCAAUAGUGAAAGACGGUUUUGCUGUCACUUAUAGAUGGAUCCGCGCCGCAUUAGCUAGUUGGUAAGGUAACGGCUUACCAAGGCAACGAUGCGUAGCCGACCUGAGAGGGUGAUCGGCCACACUGGAACUGAGACACGGUCCAGACUCCUACGGGAGGCAGCAGUAGGGAAUCUUCCGCAAUGGGCGAAAGCCUGACGGAGCAACGCCGCGUGAGUGAUGAAGGUCUUCGGAUCGUAAAACUCUGUUAUUAGGGAAGAACAAAUGUGUAAGUAACUAUGCACGUCUUGACGGUACCUAAGCAGAAAGCCACGGCUAACUACGU
rnacentral:rRNA from 1 species